GUCAGAAUUUUGGAAUGUGACACAAUCUCCUUUUUAACUUCUAUUGCAUUUUGGCUUCUGCCAUUAUCAUAAGAUGGGAUAGGUCGCUAUAUCAAACGGACACUGAGUAUCUCUCAGAUUCCCGCAGGAUCUUGAGGUGAACUCCCAUGUCGUAAACGUCAAUGUAGCAGAUGGCAUAUCUAUUAAAAACCAUUGAAAACACUCUCUGUUGGUGAUACUAUUGUGAAGCUUAAGACGCCCCUUGGAACCACAGUUGGUUAGGAUGAAGACGCUGGGUUACGAAAGUAGUAGAGAAAUUGUCCGAGGGAUGACUACUAUUAGAACAAAUUUAAUUUGGUCAUGUUACUGAAGAAAAUAUGGAAAGGUCAUUAAUCCAAAGAAUUCAUUGACCCUCCAGCAAGUUCAAUGUAUAGAAAUUUACAUGUUAAUUUGUGAUUGAGCGAUGAGUAGCAAGAUUAGCAUUGCUCAAAAUUGUCGGAUGUUUAAAAUCGAAGGUCAUUUUGAAUAACUACAAAUAUGCUAAUGAGGGUAUUUUUUUUC